AUGAACGCUGGCGGCGUGCCUAACACAUGCAAGUCGAACGGAGUAUUUCGGAUGAAGUUUUCGGAUGGAUUUUGAGAUACUUAGUGGCGGACGGGUGAGUAACGCGUGGGCAACCUGCCCCAUACCGGGGGAUAACAGCCGGAAACGGCUGCUAAAACCGCAUACGAUGCAGAAGUCGCAUGACUACUGCAUGAAAUAUUCAUAGGUAUGGGAUGGGCCCGCGUCUGAUUAGCUAGUUGGUGAGGUAACGGCUCACCAAGGCGACGAUCAGUAGCCGGCUUGAGAGAGUGACCGGCCACAUUGGGACUGAGACACGGCCCAAAUUCCUACGGGAGGCAGCAGUGGGGAAUAUUGCACAAUGGGGGCAACCCUGAUCCAGCCAUGCCGCGUGAGUGAAGAAGGCCUUCGGGUUGUAAAGCUCUUUCGGCCGGGAAGAAAUCGUAUGGGUUAAUACCCUGUGCGGAUGACGGUACCGGCAUAAGAAGCACCGGCUAACUACGUG
rnacentral:rRNA from 1 species